GAAGUCCUGGGACUUUUUUGCCACUGUUUAAAACCCGUAAUUUAGUGCUGUCUGGAAGUACCCUCAGACAGGAUGUUUUUUGGAUGCAGAUUCACAAUUGGAACAAGACACACAGAAGUGAAGCUGUGGAGCUCCAAGUGGUAAUGACAUCUCGAGACAUGGAGACGGACCUCUUCAGUUCCAAGUGACUUUCUUCUGUUCCUGCCAAAAAGAGCCUGUGCACUACUCAUAAAUGAUGUGGACUGUUUUCUGAUGUGAACAUCUGAUCAGCGGAACAUGGCAUGAAAUCAAUGAUUUCACCUCUUGAAAACAUUAUCUACAUUUUCAUCAUUUC